rnacentral:rRNA from 1 species
GACGAACGGCUGGCGGCGUGCCUAACACAUGCAAGUCGAACGGAGUUACUCCUUCGGGGGUAACUUAGUGGCGAACGGGUGAGUAACGCGUGAGAAACCUGCCUUUCAGUGGGGGACAACAGUUGGAAACGACUGCUAAUACCGCAUAAUGUAUUCGGGGGGCAUCCCCUGAAUACCAAAGAUUUAUUGCUGAAAGAUGGUCUCGCGUCUGAUUAGCUAGUUGGUGAGGUAACGGCUCACCAAGGCGACGAUCAGUAGCCGGUCUGAGAGGAUGAACGGCCACAUUGGGACUGAGAUACGGCCCAGACUCCUACGGGAGGCAGCAGUGGGGAAUAUUGGGCAAUGGGGGAAACUCUGACGCAGUGACGCCGCGUAUAGGAAGAAGGUUUUCGGAUUGUAAACUAUUGUCUGCAGGGAAGAAACAAGACUGUACCUGCAAAGAAAGCUCCGGCUAACUACGUG